UCCUUUCAAGAAGGGUAGUUUGGAGAGUAGAACGGCCUAAAAGUCUGGUGGGCGUGGACGGAGAAGAGGAAGCUGGGAGAGGAGACUCCGAACCUCCGAGGCUCAAGCGGCGCGCAUUUGCGGCCGAGGCUUCAGGGGACACGGCCAGCAGGGGGCGCGGCCCGGCGAGCUCGCUCCCAGGAGGCGCAUGCUGUAGGAGACCGCAGAGUCGGCUGCGUCAGCAGGCAAUGGCCUUGGAGCACCGGCCUGAGCUACCCAGGGAGACGGUGGAUCUCCAGGAAACCGCGAGUGCCUAGGAGCCCCUCCCCACCUUUUCCGGGGAAGCCCUGGUCGGAGCGAGCCGGUUGGGUGCUUCCAUUAGCCCUAUCUGACAGAGGAGGGGAGUGAGGCCCAGAGAAGUGAAGUGACUUGCCCAAGGUCAUCUAGCCAGGAGAUGAGAAAAGCAAGGCUCAAGAGAGGAUGAGUGAUGGGCUCAAAGAUGCACAGUGAGUGACUGAACAAAGAUGAAAACCCAGGGCUGCUGGGUCCCUCGUUCAAUAUUGUCCAAAAUCACUGGAAAGGGAGGAAGCGGAUUUUAAAUUUGACUCUCAUUUGUGUGUGUAUGCAAGUCCUCUCUAAAAGGACUUAGGAGAAGCUAGGGAGAGUGUUUACCUACAGGGAGGAGACUGGACACCGGAAGGUUGUGGAAGGUUGUGGAAGGGUGUGGUAUGGCGUGGGAAGGACACUCUUUACUGGUACUCCUUUGUAUCUCUUGAAUGAAUUAAGGCAUGUAUUACCUCUUUAACAACCAAAUAAAAGUUGAUCCAGUUCUUUCCUUC